GGGAAGGUUUAGGUUAGAUAUUAGGAGGAAGUUUUUCACACAGAGGGUGGUGACACACUGGAACAGGUUGCCCAAGGAGGUUGUGGAUGCCCCGUCCCUGGAGGCAUUCAAGGCCAGACUGGAUGUUGCUCUGGGCAGCCUGGUCUAGUGGCUGGCAUCCCUGCACUCAGCAUGGGGGUUGAAACUAUGUGAUCUUUGAGGUCCUUUUCAACUCAGGCCAUUCUAUGAUUCUAUCUAAUUGUACUAAAAAACAUCAGCAGAUUUUCCACCUUGCCAUAAGCAGAAACAAGAGAUCCUACUCUCAUAUCCUCUUUCUCUCUUACAGGUGGAAUGGGACUGAAGAGUUCUAAGGAGGAAGAAGGAGAGGAUGAGACCUCAUUUCAUCAGAGCAAACAGUCUGAUCAGAAAUUUGAAAGACUUCCUCUGAACAUCAGCACACUGCAAAUGAGAAAUACAAAAGGAUUUUGUUGAAAGGAAAGCCUCCAUGUUUUUAUUCCCCUUUAAUGUACUUCAACUUGAGUAGGAAAUUUCAGCAAUGCAUGGGAUAAGUGACUCAAAUUUCUUGAGGCAGGAGAAACAAAGGUAAGUCACUGGAAACAUUAAGUAAAACAGUUUGACAAUCUGAGAGAAUUUGG
rnacentral:lncRNA from 1 species